rnacentral:rRNA from 1 species
CUACGGGCUGCUCCAGUGAGGAAUAUUGCACAAUGGGGGGAACCCUGAUGCAGCAACGCCGCGUGGAGGAUGACGCAUUUCGGUGUGUAAACUCCUUUUAUAUGUCAAGAAAAUGACGGUAGCAUAUGAAUAAGCACCGGCUAACUCCGUGCCAGCAGCCGCGGUAAUACGGAGGGUGCAAGCGUUGCUCGGAAUCACUGGGCGUAAAGGACGCGUAGGCGGGUUGGAAAGUCAGGUGUGAAAUCCUACAGCUUAACUGUAGAACUGCACUUGAAACUUCUAAUCUAGAGUAUGGGAGGGGAGAUGGAAUUAGUGGUGUAGGGGUAAAAUCCGUAGAUAUCACUAGGAAUACCUAAAGCGAAGGCGAUCUCCUGGAACAUUACUGACGCUAAGGCGUGAAAGCGUGGGGAGCAAACAGGAUUAGAUACCCCUGUAGUC